CUCCCUCUGCCUCUGCUACUCCCCCUGCUUGUGCUCCCUUGCUCUCAAAUAAAUUUAAGAAAAAAUAAAUAAAGGAAGGAGAGGAUGCCAGAGUGCCUUCCAAAUUAUUUGCCUUGUUGAUAUUUUCUCCUUUUCACUGACAGAGUAGUACCAUGCAGGUAUGUGCCAUACUGAGCACACUUUAAAAAUUUGGUGGUGGCCUAAACAACAGAUUCUCUCGACAAGGAAUUUCAGAAUUGUGGGGUAACUUUGUGGGCUGGCGCUUCACAAGGCACCCAUUCACAUAACUUGGCUAGAUUGUAUUUUCACACACACACACACUCACACACCCCGGCCCACGGCUUGUUGCUACGUGUGAUUUUUAAACAAGCUCUCGUGACAAUAAUCUCUGGGUGCUGUCAAGCUGGUUUCCUUCCUGUUGGCAUAAAAUGCCCCAAAACUUACUUCCUGUCAUUCUUGACUGUCUUCCUAUUUACUGAUAACGUCUCAGGGCACAGCCUGGAGUUAAACAGAAAUACAGUGAGUAUAUUUCAAAUAAUGGGAUUUUCAUGUACAGGCUUCUGGGAUAAUGGCCCCAAAUACGCCCCUGGGAACAAAUUAACGGCAAAGGUUUGCAUCAGUGACUUGGAUUUCCUGCUGAAUUUGCUCUGAAAGAGCAAAUACGUGUGGAAUGAAGCUGCUUUGUAGGUUCCCUCUUUACACAAGGCCUCCCUUCUGCCUUAAUCACCUGGAUUGACUCUGUAAAAGCACAAAUGGAUGUAGUUCACCGAAGAGCAUUUCGGAAACAUGUGCUUUUCCUGUGAUGAUGUGUAAUUAAUCACCUCCAGGCAAAGCAAACAAGGCAAGGUGGCUUUUAAAGCCUCUGCCAGCCUUUCUUCUUCUCUUCCUGUCUUGUUCUUGUCAGAAGAAUCUCUGCCGUCCUCUGAUUUUUCCCUGCUUCAAGCCUUGUGUGAUCACAGAAGUUUCAUCAGAGGCUGCUUUGAACCACCGUUCUCUCCUCCAGAUGCAGAGGCCAAGUCUACGUGACAACUGCCACAGGGACGAGAAAAGGCAGUGGUGUGAAUCGACACGCUUGCAAAUCUGGGCAACACGCCUCCUCCCAACCAUGAGGCCCUUUAUGCAAAGCCCAUUCAUCGGUCUCAUGCCCCCCAGUAGUCCACACUCUUGGACAUGGGUAGUGGGGCAGGGAUUCUCAGAAUACACCUGCCACUGAAGCCCCAUUUAGGAGGCCCAGAAACGUUCCAUUCUCUGAUGAGAUAACUCAAGACAACAAAAAAGUGCUGAUUGAGAAGACUUUGGGGCAGGAUGGAGGUGGGUGCCUCUGGGUUCACUCAUAAGUCACUGCCUGGCAUUGACCUUCCAGAAGUAAGUGCAUUGCUGAAAGUAGCUGCUAUGGAUUGAACUGUACCCUCCCAGAAGAUGUGUAUGUGAUCUGUCCGGAAAGAGCAUCUUUGCAGAUGAUCAGCUUAUGAUGACUUAUGGGGGCCCUGAUUCAGUAUGGCUGGCACCCUUACAAAGAGGAAAUGGGGACACAGGGACAGGCAUACGUGCGUGGAGAAUGCCAGGGAGGAUGAAGGCAGAGGCGAGCGGGAUGCUUUACAAUCCAAGGAACUACAAGCAUUGCCAGCAAACCACAGGAAGCCCAGAGAGAAGCAUGGACUAGAUCCCGCCUCCCAGUCCUUGGAAGGAACUGACCCUGCUUACCCCGUGAACUUGGACUUCUAGCCUCCGGAAUUUGGAGAUACUAGAUUUUUGUUGUUCUAAACCACUCGGUUUGUGGCGUUCGUAGUAAUUUCUCAGGAAGCAGCAAAUGAUUGAAUGAUUGACCUUUGCAGAGCAUAUUAGUGUGCUCAGGCUGUCAUAACCGAAUACCACCAGAUGGCUGAAACGUCAGCGUAUCAUUGUCUGACAGUUCUGGAGAAGUCCAUGAUCAAAGGGUGGCAGGGUCGGUUUCCUCUGAGGUCUGUCUCCUUGGCUUGCACACUCUCGCAUCCUCUCUGUGUGCCCUGGUGUCUCUUCGAAAACCUUCUUCACUGGAUUAGAGCCCAGGCUGAUGGACUCAUUUUAACACAAUCACCUCUCUAAUGACAAUAUUUCCCAAUAUAGACACAUUCGGAGGUCCUGGGGGUUGGGACUCCAGCAUAUGAAUUUGGGGGACAUGAGUCAGCCCCUGACAGCACAGGGGCCAUCUGAAGCAGCUAGGAGUGGAGGGCCAGGCAUUUGAGAACAGAGGACACGGGCCACUUAUCAGACCAAGCAAGCCCAAUGCUUCCUGAGGACCAAUGCCUUGGGCUUUGUGGGCACUGUUUGCUGAGUCAGCAUCAGGGAUCCAGGUAGCCUGUCUAUUGUACCCUCACGUUAAUGAGCCUGGACUCACCCAGGCUUCGAGCUCUUUCCAGGUGUGGCACAGCAGCUCUGGACAGACGGUGCCUUCAGCCUCAGGGAUGGCCUGCUGACGUUGUCCCAGCCUGACCCCAGACAUCCAAGGCCUGCGCUCCCUCCUCUGCUCACUGCAACAGCCAAUGUAAAGGGUAAUAUAAUCACCAGCAGCUGAGAGACAAUGACAUUUUUAUAGACCUUCUGGCAACACUGGAGUGUGAAAGAGCCUGACAGGUAUUCAGGAAGGAUUUCCUACUCACCUCCCUUCCUACGGUAGUGAUGGUUCCCUCUCGAAGCCAGACGUGGAAAUCUCAUCUGAAUGGAAGCUGAACUUCAAUGGGCUUGGCCCAUGUUCUCCAUGAAUUCUGCACAGUGAAUCCACUUUGGUUAGUGCAGUUGGAUCAGAUUUCUACAUAUUCUUCCCUCAGAAAAGGAUCAAGAAUGGAGUUUCUGAAACAGAUGCUCAGAUCAGAAAAGUGGCUCGAAACCACCCUCCUACAGAUGAAAAAUCUGAAGCCGAGGGAGGUUUAGCAACUUGCACAACAGGACUGAGAUAAUCAGAAGGCAGAGAUGCUCACCAAGUGCUGCCCUGCUGUUUCUCGACCUUCCUGGCCCCACCCACUUCCUUAAAGUCUAGUGUCUGUAGGUGGCUUCACUCUCAGCCCCUCUGACUUAAGCUUCACUGCGUUUAUUUUGUAAAUAUUUUAUUUAUUUCUUUUGAUAGACAGCAAGUGAGAGAGAGAGAGACAGAGCACAAGCAGGGGGCAAGGGACAGAGGGAGAAGCACUUUCUGCUGAGCAGAGAGCCAGACGCAGGUCUCCAUCCCAGGACCCUGGGAUCACAACCCGAGCUGAGGGUAGAUGCCCAACUGACUGAGCCACCCAGGUGCCCCAGCUUCACUGCCUAUGUGUAAGUCAAUUUCGCACGUAUAAUCGACGUAUAAGUCAAUUUCGCACAGGGCAAAGAUGCUAGAGAUGAUAAAAUAAUUUAGUUAUAAUGAUCGUUACUGAAAAAAAAAUCACAAGUGCCCCCAAAUGCUUGAUCAUUUUGACUAUGAUUGUAAAUUAACCCUGGCACAGGGUUUUGUUUUUAACUUCUGGCAAAAAUAUGGCCAAUGGAAUUAUUUGUUUUUCUCUCGAGAUACUUCCCUGGUGCAAAACAAGAAGUUUUCACCUGUCCAAGAGGUAAUUUGUUGUCCUUGCUCAUCAUCAUACCUUCUCCAGCUCCCUGGGAACUGAUACAUGUACAUUUAAAAAGAAGUGUCCUUGGGACCCCUGGGUGGCUCAGCGGUUGAGCUCCUGCCUUUGGCCCAGGGAGUGAUCCUGGAGUCCCAGGAUCGAGUCCCACGUCAGGCUCCCUGCAUGGAGCCUGCUUCUCCCUCUGCCUGUGUCUCUGCCUCUCUCUGUGUGUCUACCAUGAAUAAAUAAAUAAAGUAUAAUAUUUUUUAAAAUAAAGAAGUGUCCUUGAGAGAGGUACCCAGGAGCAUUACACUUACUGAUUCCAAAAGGUGUUACAAAACUAUUGUAAUUAAAACAUUAUGGUGCAAUAGAGUAUUAUGCAGUCAUAAAAAAGAAUGAGAUCUUGCCAUUUGUGACCACUUGCACUUUAUGCCAAGUGAAAUAAGACAGGCAGAGAAAGCAAAUACCAUAUCAUCUUACUUAUCUGUGGAAUCGAAACCAAACCAAAACAAAAACCAACCUUGUAGAUAUAGAGGAGAGACUGGUGGAUGCCAGAGGCAGAGGUCUGAGGGGGUGAGAGAAAUGAGUAUAUGUGAUCAAAGGUACAAGCUUCCAGUUAUAAGAUCAUGGAGACGUAACAUAGAGCAUGGUGAUGAUAGUGAUACUGUGUCGUAUAUUUGAAAGUUGCUAAGGGAGUAGAUCUUAAAAGUUCUCAUCAUAAGAAAAAAUUCAUUAACCAGACUUAUUGUGGUGAUCAUUUCACAAUAUGUACAAGUAUUAAAGUACAAUAAAUACAAGUUGUACACCUGAAACUGAUAUAAUGUCAACUGUACCUCAAAAAAUACAAAACGGAAAGAAGUAUCUUCCUGUAUAUGUGUAAAUAUGUCCACAUCUAUGGGCUCUCCUGUGUAAUUGUUUGGUGGUCACUGUUUAUAAAUACUUGUUUUCUAUAAAUCUGGUUUUACUGGUGGCUUUAAGCAAAAAGCAAAGAAAUAAUUUUAAAAGAUCCCCCAAAGCUUCUAAAUGGGCAUAGAAAAUGUUUCUAGUAAAAUAUAGUGUCCACCUGUGUUGGU